UAUGGCUUUCCCCCAACACUCGGUGACAGCCCGAUGACCAACUCGAGCUUAUACGUGGGAAGCACGUACUCGUUACUUAGAAGUUGGAGGGACUGAUACUCAAUGGUAACGGCACGAAAGAACUCGAUGUUCAGUAUGAUGUGGCCAGGCUUGUGGAAUGAUUGUGGAUAUCUCUCAACUCGAUCGCGCAACAAGUCCAUGGCCAUGUUGAUGUGCUACAUCAAGGAAAACAAAGACAUAAAUACUUAUUUCAUUUACCAAAUUAAACAUAACGUAUACAAAAAGUAACAUUAACACUUCACUUACAUCGUCGGCGAGCCAAGCCCUCUGAGUGGUGAUAUCAUGGAACCACUUGUAUGCGUCCAAUAUCGUCUUUCCGGCUAUCAUGUGCGUGGCUCUGGAAAUAAAAUAGAAAAAACGUUAAACAAAGCAUAUACGAGUAAUUCUAGUCUACUAAAUCAUACAAUA
rnacentral:lncRNA from 1 species